rnacentral:rRNA from 1 species
GACGAACGCUGGCGGCGUGCUUAACACAUGCAAGUCGAACGGUGAAGCUCCAGCUUGCUGGAGUGGAUCAGUGGCGAACGGGUGAGUAACACGUGAGCAACCUGCCCCUGACUCUGGAAUAAGCGCUGGAAACGGCGUCUAAUACUGGAUACGAGAAGGGUCCGCAUGGGCACUUUCUGGAAAGUUUUUCGGUUGGGGAUGGGCUCGCGGCCUAUCAGCUUGUUGGUGAGGUAAUGGCUCACCAAGGCGACGACGGGUAGCCGGCCUGAGAGGGCGACCGGCCACACUGGGACUGAGACACGGCCCAGACUCCUACGGGAGGCAGCAGUGGGGAAUAUUGCACAAUGGGCGAAAGCCUGAUGCAGCAACGCCGCGUGAGGGACGACGGCCUUCGGGUUGUAAACCUCUUUUAGCAGGGAAGAAGCGAAAGUGACGGUACCUGCAGAAAAAGCGCCGGCUAACUACGUG